GAUGAACGCUGGCGGCGUGCUUAACACAUGCAAGUCGAACGAGAAGUGAAGACGGAAUCCUUCGGGCGGAAGGCUUUAUUUCGAGUGGCGGACGGGUGAGUAACGCGUGGGUAACCUGCCUCAUACAGGGGGAUAACAGUUGGAAACGACUGUUAAUACCGCAUAAGACCAAAGAACCGCAUGGUGCGGGGGUAACAACUCCGGUGGUCUGAGAUGGACCAGCGUUCGAUUAGACAGUUGGCGGGGUAAGGGCCCACCACAGCGACGAUCGAUAGACCAUCUGAGAGAAUGACCGGCGACAUUGAGACUGAGACACGGCCCAGACUCCUACGGGAGGCAGCAGUGGGGAAUAUUGCACUAUGGGGGAAAUCAAGAUGCAGCGACGCCGCGUGAGUGAAGAAGUAGUUCGGUAUGUAAAGCUCUAUCAGCAGGGAAGAAAAUGACGGUACCUGAGUAAGAAGCCCCGGCUAACUACGUG
rnacentral:rRNA from 1 species